rnacentral:rRNA from 1 species
AUGAACGCUGGCGGCGUGCUUAACACAUGCAAGUCGAACGAUGAUCCGGUGCUUGCACCGGGGAUUAGUGGCGAACGGGUGAGUAACACGUGAGUAACCUGCCCUUAACUCUGGGAUAAGCCUGGGAAACUGGGUCUAAUACCGGAUAUGACUCCUCAUCGCAUGGUGGGGGGUGGAAAGCUUUAUUGUGGUUUUGGAUGGACUCGCGGCCUAUCAGCUUGUUGGUGAGGUAAUGGCUCACCAAGGCGACGACGGGUAGCCGGCCUGAGAGGGUGACCGGCCACACUGGGACUGAGACACGGCCCAGACUCCUACGGGAGGCAGCAGUGGGGAAUAUUGCACAGUGGGCGAAAGCCUGAUGCAGCGACGCCGCGUGAGGGAUGACGGCCUUCGGGUUGUAAACCUCUUUCAGUAGGGAAGAAGCGAAAGUGACGGUACCUGCAGAAGAAGCGCCGGCUAACUACGUGCCAGCAGCCGCGGUAAUACGUAGGGCGCAAGCGUUAUCCGGAAUUAUUGGGCGUAAAGAGCUCGUAGGCGGUUUGUCGCGUCUGCCGUGAAAGUCCGGGGCUCAACUCCGGAUCUGCGGUGGGUACGGGCAGACUAGAGUGAUGUAGGGGAGACUGGAAUUCCUGGUGUAGCGGUGAAAUGCGCAGAUAUCAGGAGGAACACCGAUGGCGAAGGCAGGUCUCUGGGCAUUAACUGACGCUG